rnacentral:rRNA from 1 species
UCCCCUUCCCCAGCAUACCUAAUUACUCAUAACUCUAUUUUGCUCGUUAAGAACUGCGAAUGGCUCAUUACAACAGUUUUCGUUAUUUGAUACAUUAAAUGGAUAACUGUAGAAAAACUAGAGCUAAUACAUGCUAAGGCCGCAAGGUUGUAUUUAUUAGAUAUUCCGAUAAGGUGAAUCAUAAUAACUUCGCAAAUCUCAUCUAUUGACGAGAUAAAUCAUCCAAGUUUCUGCCCUAUCAUGCUUUCGUUGGUAGUGUAUUGGACUACCAUGGCUCCCACGGGCCCGCAGGGAAAUUAGGGUUCGAUUCUGGGAAUGAGCCUGAGAAACGGCUACUACAUCCUACCGCAGGCAGCAGGCGCGUAAAUUACCCAAUCCUGACUCAGGGAGGUGGUGACAAGAUAUAACAACGAGACCUUAAAUCUCGAUUGUAGUGAGGGUUUUCUAAAUAGAACCUAUAGUACGAUUAGAGGGCAAGUCUGGUGCCAGCAGCCGCGGUAUUCCAGCUCUAUAGCGCAUAUAAAGUUGCUGCAGUAAAAGCUCGUAGUGGAUUCAGUUGUAUCUCUACGGGAUAACCUACUAGUCAUGACUGUACUGUGAGAAUAGAGUGUUCAGCAGCUUGCAGAAACAUACUGAAACGAGGAUUGAACUGGGUUAUUCAAUAAAUAAGACGUGGGCUAUUUAUGCAGGACCUGGUGUGAACUGGCUCGAGUUCACGGAGAGAGAACCCCCGCGCCUCUACACGCGGGGGGGGACAACACAUAUA